AAAAUUGCUUAAACUACCAUUUUCCUAAUAUAUGUUUUGAUGUUUACUUUAACCAAAUUUAUCCUUAGUUUUAAAGAGAUAAGGGAAAAUUACAUGUUUACCACUUUCAUAGUACCACUUUUCAUUUUUACCACUAAUGAGACAUUUUCAAAAAUACCUUCUUCAUUAAGUGGCAAAAGACUUUUAUGCCAUUGUUAUUUAUAUAUAUAAUAAAUUAUUAUUUAAAUAAAAAAAUAAAAAAAAAUAAUAAUAAAAAAACUAAAAAUUAAAAAAUUAAAAAAUUAAAAAAAUGUAAAUUUCUUUUUUAUGUUUUUGAAUUAUACUUUUUCAAAUUCGAACUUUUUGAUAAAUAAAAUUUUUUGAAUUUUUUUUCAAAUUUUUUUUUUCAAAUUUCUUUUUGAAAAACGAAAAAUUAUGUUUGAAACUAUUUUUUAAGUAUUUAUAUAUUUAUUAGAAUAAUAAAUUUCACAUUCCAAAAACCCUAC
rnacentral:lncRNA from 1 species